UCGCCGGAAGACCAAGGGUUCCUGUCCAACGUUAAUCGGGGCAGGGUGAGUCGACCCCUAAGGCGAGGCCGAAAGGCGUAGUCGAUGGGAAACAGGUUAAUAUUCCUGUACUUGGUGUUACUGCGAAGGGGGGACGGAGAAGGCUAUGUUGGCCGGGCGACGGUUGUCCCGGUUUAAGCGUGUAGGCUGGUUUUCCAGGCAAAUCCGGAAAACUAAGGCUGAGGCGUGAUGACGAGGCACUACGGUGCUGAAGCAACAAAUGCCCUGCUUCCAGGAAAAGCCUCUAAGCAUCAGGUAACAUCAAAUCGUACCCCAAACCGACACAGGUGGUCAGGUAGAGAAUACCAAGGCGCUUGAGAGAACUCGGGUGAAGGAACUAGGCAAAAUGGUGCCGUAACUUCGGGAGAAGGCACGCUGAUAUGUAGGUGAAGUCCCUCGCGGAUGGAGCUGAAAUCAGUCGAAGAUACCAGCUGGCUGCAACUGUUUAUUAAAAACACAGCACUGUGCAAACACGAAAGUGGACGUAUACGGUGUGACGCCUGCCCGGUGCCGGAAGGUUAAUUGAUGGGGUCAGCGCAAGCGAAGCUCUUGAUCGAAGCCCCGGUAAACGGCGGCCGUAACUAUAACGGUCCUAAGGUAGCGAAAUUCCUUGUCGGGUAAGUUCCGACCUGCACGAAUGGCGUAAUGAUGGCCAGGCUGUCUCCACCCGAGACUCAGUGAAAUUGAACUCGCUGUGAAGAUGCAGUGUACCCGCGGCAAGACGGAAAGACCCCGUGAACCUUUACUAUAGCUUGACACUGAACAUUGAGCCUUGAUGUGUAGGAUAGGUGGGAGGCUUUGAAGUGUGGACGCCAGUCUGCAUGGAGCCGACCUUGAAAUACCACCCUUUAAUGUUUGAUGUUCUAACGUUGACCCGUAAUCCGGGUUGCGGACAGUGUCUGGUGGGUAGUUUGACUGGGGCGGUCUCCUCCUAAAGAGUAACGGAGGAGCACGAAGGUUGGCUAAUCCUGGUCGGACAUCAGGAGGUUAGUGCAAUGGCAUAAGCCAGCUUGACUGCGAGCGUGACGGCGCGAGCAGGUGCGAAAGCAGGUCAUAGUGAUCCGGUGGUUCUGAAUGGAAGGGCCAUCGCUCAACGGAUAAAAGGUACUCCGGGGAUAACAGGCUGAUACCGCCCAAGAGUUCAUAUCGACGGCGGUGUUUGGCACCUCGAUGUCGGCUCAUCACAUCCUGGGGCUGAAGUAGGUCCCAAGGGUAUGGCUGUUCGCCAUUUAAAGUGGUACGCGAGCUGGGUUUAGAACGUCGUGAGACAGUUCGGUCCCUAUCUGCCGUGGGCGCUGGAGAACUGAGGGGGGCUGCUCCUAGUACGAGAGGACCGGAGUGGACGCAUCACUGGUGUUCGGGUUGUCAUGCCAAUGGCACUGCCCGGUAGCUAAAUGCGGAAGAGAUAAGUGCUGAAAGCAUCUAAGCACGAAACUUGCCCCGAGAUGAGUUCUCCCUGACUCCUUGAGAGUCCUGAAGGAACGUUGAAG
rnacentral:rRNA from 1 species